CACGUAGGCGGCUUUGUAAGUUAGAGGUGAAAGCCCGGGGCUCAACUCCGGAAUUGCCUUUAAGACUGCAUCGCUAGAAUUGUGGAGAGGUGAGUGGAAUUCCGAGUGUAGAGGUGAAAUUCGUAGAUAUUCGGAAGAACACCAGUGGCGAAGGCGACUCACUGGACACAUAUUGACGCUGAGGUGCGAAAGCGUGGGAGCAAACA
rnacentral:rRNA from 1 species